GGGCAGGCGAAGGCGAGCGCGAGGGAGCGUUAGCCGGGAGCUGGCGGGCGCGCGGCCCCGGGGCGACGCGGAUGCCCUCAGAGAAGGCACAAAAUUAACUUGUGAUUGAAGUACCACAGUCUGAAGUGAUUUAGUGAAAUCAUUUCAGCAAUAAUUUCUUUCAUUAUGGCUCUAUAUGCUUGGUCACAUCUGCAUACAGUUGCCUGUUUUUUCACGGAAGAAGUCUACUGACACGCAUCAUAUUGGGUGGAGAGACAAAAGGCGUAAGAUGAUGAUGGAUCCCUCAAGGACCAUCCAAGAUUGUCAGAGAAUGCCAACUGUUCCCACCGGCUCAGGGGUUGAUUGCUUGGUCCCAGCUGGGAAUGAUAUUUGGGGGAGUUGUUUAAAUGUCGGGCCCUGUGGACCUGUGAGAUAGCACAUCUGGCAAAGGUGCCUGCCGCCAAGCCUGACGACCUGAGUUCGACCCUCACAUCUCACACGGUGGAAGGAGAGAACCGACUCCUGAGGACUUCGGGUGGGAGGCACUCCAUCCUCCAGGUGGCCAGGCUGUUAGCGAGGCAGCAAGUGCUCCCCAGAGAAGAAGUGAUGUCAUCUGGCCACCAAGCUGUAACCACCAUCAGAAGCUGCUCCUGCUAAAAGCAGCACUUUUCUUCUGGGCCCACAAUGCAGCACAGGCCGGCCGGUCUGACAUCUCCACUUGCAUUCUGCAUGGCUCCCUUCCUUUCCGUUAUCGGUUUACCUCUGCCCACAGGCAUGUUCAUCACUCAGAAAGAGUGUUCAUCACUCAGAAAGCAUCUCUCCAAAAACUGGCGUCACCUAAUCCAUCAACGGUGAAGGCACAGUGAUAAGAAUAAUCAAGGCAUCUUACUGUCACCUUUUACAACUUCCUGUUCUAGAAUCCCUCCACAAAAGGAGCCCAAAGGUCUCCAGUCAUUGUCCCAAAUCUGUAGCCACCUAGGAUUCCAGAAAGAGCAGAACUUCACAGGCAUAUCACUCCAUGAUGAGACUUUCCCUAGCUGCUUGCCUCAAGCAAAGAGGACUUCUAUGGUUGUCUUGCAGAACCAGAGCUGAGACAAUGAGUGGCCAGACCACACUGGACCAGGACUGCUUAUUUAUGCAUACCCGUGGCCAUUGCCCCUAUUAUUCUGCCAUUUAUCCUAUAGCUCAUGUCUGUAUGCUAAAGAUGGACUUGUGGGGGACCCCCCCACCUCAUCUGGACUUUCCAGCGUAGCCACAUUGAUUAACUCUCUUUUCUCUGCCUAUGGACAUAUUUGUUCCCUUGGCAUGUUAGGAUGGGUUGCUAAACCUGGCUGGUCAGGCUGCUUAAGAGUUCUCCCAAAAUUAUGUUUCAUUUCCAGACACUGCAUUUCAUUCUUUUCCAACUUCCUAUUUUCAAUACUUUUUUUAAAGGUAAGAUCUAUAUAAUGGAACUAUAAGUCAGUCACCUAUAAAGUGCCCCACUUAGGAAAAUCAUUAUCAUACACUUUCAUGUGAUCAUCAUCAUAAACAAGAUUUUGAAUAUUUCUAUCAUCACAAAAUAUUCUCCCCUGUUCCUUCUCACUCUCUGGCCUUUGGUAUCGCCGAUUCUGCAUUGUACCCUUUCCUAAGUGGGAUUAAAGGUGUGAGCCACACACCCAGUGUUUAUGAGUUCUUACGUAGACAUGUUUUCAUCUCUCUCAGGAGUGGAACUGCUGGGUCAUAUGACUAAUGUGAGUUUAUAAGUGGCAGCCCAGCUAUUUUCCAAUGUGAUUGUACCAUUUUGAAUUUCUCUUAUCUCCAGGGGCUCUUCUACCUUGCCAUAACCCGAUGUUAUCAGAUAUAAAAUUCUAGCUGUUCUAGAAGCUGUACAGUAGUAUCUUAUUGUAGUUAAAAAACCUUUUAUUAUUAUUAUUAUUAUUAUUAUUAUUAUUAUUAUUAUUAUUAUGUGGGUGUUUUG